CCCUUAGAUGUUCUGGGCCGCACGCGCGCUACACUGACGAAUGCAACGAGCUUAUAACCUUGGCCGAAAGGUCUGGGUAAUCUCCAAAUUUCGUCGUGAUGGGGAUAGAUUAUUGCAAUUAUUAAUCUUCAACGAGGAAUGCCUAGUAAGCGCAAGUCAUCAGCUUGCGUUGAUUACGUCCCUGCCCUUUGUACACACCGCCCGUCGCUCCUACCGAUUGAAUGAUUUAGUGAGGACUUCGGACUGGGACCGAUGCGGCUUUCGGGCUGCGUCGGUAUUCUGGAAAGAUGUCCAAACUGUAUCAUUUAGAGGAAGUAAAAGUCGUANCA
rnacentral:rRNA from 1 species